UUGUCCAAAUGAUUGCAUUCUCUACUGGAAAGAGAAUGUGGAUAAAGAUCAGUGUCCAAAAUGUGAGGUUUCUCGAUGGAAAUCUAAUAGAAAGAGUCUAGAUGAGAGACAUGUGUAUAAGGUUCCUAAAAAGGUUCUCCGCUACUUUCCUAUAAAGAAAACACUCCAAAGGUUAUUUCUAUCCUCUAAAACAGCAAGUCUAACGAGAUGGCAUGAUGAGGACCGAAAAAAGGAUGGUCUGCUAAGGCAUCCUGCAGAUUCACCUCUAUGGCAGGAUUUUGAUGAGAGGUAUCCAGAAUUUUCUGCAGAUAGUCGAAAUAUCCGUCUAGCAUUUGCCACAGAUGGGUUUAAUCCAUUUAGGAUGAACAAUGUUAGCUAUAGUGUUUGGCCUGGUAUUUGUAUUCCACUCAAUUUCCCACCUUCCAUGUGCAUGAAGCAGUCAAAUUUCAUCCUUUCUUUGCUCAUUCUCGGUAAACGUGCCCCAGGUCAUGAUAUGGAUGUCUUUUUACAGCCACUUGUUUAUGAUUUGUUAGAUAUGUUUGAAAAUGGAGUUAGAACCUAUGAUGCUUCAAAGGGUGAGUUCUUCAAGUUGAGGGCGGCAGUGUUGUGGACUAUUUCAGAUUUCCCAGGUUUAGGUUAUGUGUCUGGGUCUACCACAUCUGGUGAAGCAGGAUGUCCUGAUUGCCACCAAUUCACAUGUUCACUUAGACUUCGUAAUGGUACGAAGACAUGCUAUAUGGAUCAUCGUAGAUUCUUGGAUGAAAACCACCCAUUUAGAUUUGAUGCUGAUAAAUUUGGUGGUAAAACUGAGUUUAGGCCAGCACCUACACCACUAUCCGGGGAGCAAAUUUUGGACUGCACUAAGGACCUUAGUACAAGUUUUGGCAAGGAUCCAUCUGGGAAGCAACCAGGAAAGAAAAAAAGGAAGGAAGGGGAGCCCUUAGUCAUUUUCAAAAGGAGAUCUAUUUGGUUCAAACUUCCAUAUUGGAAAAAUUUGAUGCUGCGACAUAAUUUUGAUGUCAUGCACAUAGGUAAAAAUGUGAGUGAAAGCUUAAUUAACACAUUCCUAGGCACCACUGACAAGUCCAAGGACAAUUUGAAUUCUCGUCUAGACCUUCAAGCUCUAGGUAUUAGAGGUGAUCUUCACCCUGUUGAAGUUGAUGACCAACUUUAUUUACCACCUGCACCAUACACAAUGAGUCCUGAUGAGAAGAAAUUAUUUUGUCAAAUACUCAAAGGGGUCAAGUUUCCUGAUGGUUAUGCAUCUGAUAUACGACACAACAUCCAUGUUAAUGAGAAAAAGGUAUUUGGACUAAAGAGUCAUGAGUGCCACAUUAUUCUUCAACACUUGCUGCCCCUUGCUGUGAGAAAAAUAUUGCCUGAAAUUGUUAGUGCAGGAGUGAUUCGUAUAAGUAACUUUUUCAAGAAACUUUGCUCACCUGUUAUUCAAAGAAGUGAUAUGGAUAUUCUAGAGGCCAAUAUAGCUGAAACCUUGAGCCUUCUUGAGGUUAUAUUCCCUCCAUCAUUUUUUAAUAUGAUGGUACACUUGAUGGUACAUCUUCCUGCUCAAGCACGAAUAGCUGGUCCUGUCCAUUUCCGCAGCAUGUGGCCAGUAGAGAGAUAUCUAAUGAGAUUAAAGGGUUCUGUUCAUACAAAAAGUCACCCUGAAGGAUCAAUUAUGGAGUGGUCUAUGUUUAAUGAGUGCCUUACACUUUGUGCUCGCUAUCUACAUGGUGCAACUCAAGUUGGCUAUCAAGUUCUAACCCAUGAAGAUUGUAGCACAACCCCUUUCUUUCGUACUAUUGGUCGUGGAAUGGCUGGAAAGUGCACAAUGAGUAUAGACCACAAGACAUGGCUGCAAGCCCAUAGAUAUGUUUUGUUCAACUAUGACAAUAUAGGACCAUACUUGGACAAGCAUUCUCACUACCUAUCCUCAAUUGGUGUUUGAAGUAAACGGGACAUCAACCGCAUGCAUCAUGAAUCAUUUCAUGAGUGGUUUAGGUUGCAUGUGGAAGAGAUGAGUGAGGAAGCAACAAAUGAGAUUAAGAUAUUGGCGAAGGGGCCAAUGAUGAGUGCACAAAAAUAUAGUAGCUAUACCAUAAAUGGAUUGAAGUUCCACACAAAAUCCUAUGAUGAGGGUAGAGCUAUUCAAAAAAGUGGGGUUGCUGUAGUUGCAGAGUCAGCAAGCUUUGAGAGGGGCAACAAUGAUCAGAUUAUAAUAGGAAAGAAAAUCUAUUAUGGUGUUAUAAAGGAAAUUCUUGAACUGAACUACCAUCACAAAGGAAAUAUGGUGCUUUUCAAGUGUGAUUGGGUUGAAAACCGUGUGCAAAAUAAAUGGGUAAAAACUGAUCAAUUUGGGACCACAAGUGUCAACUUUAAGCAUUUAUUCAAUACAGGUGAAAAGAUAUCAGAUGAACCUUUCAUUCUAGCUUCGCAAGCACUUCAAGUAUACUAUGUUCCUGAUAAGGUUGAUACUGAGUGGGCCGCCGCUGUUCAAUCAAUACCUAGUGGUUCAUAUAAUUUGGAUAAUUUGGAGAUUGAACAUGCCGAUAAUGAUAAUGGUCAGGUUAUGCCUUCUGUGAAUGAUCUUAGUGGCACUGUGUCUGUGGAUAUUAUUAAUGGGGUUAUCCCUUCUAUUAGAACCGACAUAGAGGGUAUAAUUGUUGACAAAAAGAAACCUAAAAAUGGGUCUAGAAAGAGGAAAAAUGGAAAGCGCUAGAAGAAACAAUACUUGUGACCCUCUCAAUGUGUACGAACAGCAGAGGAAUGCAAACAUUGCAAUUGUUGAUGCGAAGCUAAAAUCUCUUAAUAUCCCUAGGCUGACAAAAGAGUUGAAGGAUCAACCUAAGAAAAGGAAAAAGAGAACUCACACAGUUGUUACUGAAACGGAAGCCCAUAAUUUGCGUCCAAGGCCACCAAGAAAUUUAGUUGAGAAUGCAACUGAGGAGAUUGAUGAAGAUCUGGAUUGUGAACCAACUGGGGACUUUUUAUGUCCCAAUGAAGAUGUUCCACGCAAGAAAAGGGGAGGGAGGGGUAUCACUAGAAUGGAAGAAGUAUUUGCAAGGACACCUCAUAUGGCAAAAGUGAAAGUGGAUCUUAAUGAAUUUGAUCAGCCUGUAGGGUCACGUGCUAGGGAGCCUGCUAGUGUUAUUGGUUGUUUGGUGAGGAAGAUAUCAGUUCAGUGCUCUGAUUGGAGGCUUGUUGAUAUUAAAAAGAAGGAUGCACUUUGGAAAGAAAUAAAGGCUAAAUAUGAUAUUCAUGCUGAUGGGAAGCAUUGGGUUUUAAAAACUGCUGGAUAUAUAUGGAAGGACUUUAAGGCAACUUUGAAGAAAAUGUAUUUUGAUAAAAAAAUAACAGAUGAGCAACUAAAGAAAAUGUAUGGUGAUAGAGUUAAUGACAGCGAUUGGGAGUAUCUUGUAGCUCAUUGGAUGUCUCCAGAAUUUGAAGUUCGCACGAAAACUGCCAAAGCAAAUCGUGCUAAGUUGGCCAUACAUCAUACAUCAGGCACCAAGAGCUUUGCUCGUGCUAGACAUGAAUUGGGUCAUUUGCUACAACGCCCUCCUCGACGAGAUGAAGUAUAUAUUAAAACUCAUACAAGAAAAAAUGGUGUUCCUACAAAGAAUGCAGAACCAAUCAUUAACAAACUUAAAGAAAUUGUUGAAGCCUGCCCGGAGUUGAAGGAAAGAACAAUUGAACAGGGCGAUGCACUUGCUGCUGCUUGUGGUGCAAAGGAGCCAAGAGGGCGUGUGCGAGCUUUGGGUCUAGGACCAACUCCUCAAGAUAUCGGCGUAGCAGGAUUGAAGUGUUACCAAUCUACAAGAUUUCAAAUGGAGUGUUACCAACUUACAGCGACUUAUACAGGAUUGAAGUGUUACCAACUUACAGCGACUUAUACAUUGGUGGCUAUAAAUUUAUAGCGACCGAUGAUCGGUGGCUAUAACGGCUUAUAGCGACCGUUUUGCUGACGCUAUACUUUGGCUGUGAUGGCAGCAAGGGGAAGAGGCAGAGGCAGAGGCCGUGGCAAUGGUGACAAUGCCC